CGAUCGGGCCCCGACCGAAGAAAGGCUAAAAGCCCACGCGGCUGUCGCCGCGACAUUCCGACCAGGCUACGGCCGGUCGAGGGAUAUUCGGCUCACCACCGUCUAUCACAUGACGCGACCUUAGUCGCACCCACUACUCGCCGACCGACCUACGGCCGGCUGAACGACACUCGGCUUGCCACCGUCUGUCAAAAGACACGAAACCCGACGCAAGAGCAUGGGGACCCGACUUACUAUCAUGCCCCCGACACUGCGCCGGAUGAUGACCGGCUAAGUGCAUCUACGGAGGUCCGGCCGCCGAACCUUCACUAGGUUCGGUCGGCUCCCUACUUGACAGAUGCGCCCGAACGGCGAUUACAAUUUUUGGAAACCGACCUAAAGUCGGGACACAAGCUACUUCGGAGCUGUGCAAGCCGGUUAAGUCCUACCGACUUACCCAAGUUGGCGACUUCUCUAAGUUGGCGACUAGGGUUCGACAUUACAGCGAUAAGAAACGUUACAAACAAGAAGCAAAAGAGAAGACAAUUUCAUUCAUUGAUCAAAAAACAUUACAAAGUUGGGCCGAAGCCCGAUUACAUGUAUUUUCAAAAA
rnacentral:lncRNA from 1 species